ACAACACUGAGAAUUGUAUAAACAUCCCAUAGACACAUCAGUCUUCUAGAUCUACAGAAGCUGAGUUGCUGGAUGAUACAAUACCAGCAUCCUUUCUGGAUCAUCUGUCUCAGUACAACACCUCGUCCAUACUUAUUUUCAUUACUGCAAAACUUCACAUGAGUGACUGAGAAGAACUUUGGUACUGUGUGCUAAAUGACCAGGUUUUGGGUUUUUUGGUUUUUUUUUUUUGUUUGUUUGUUUGUUUUUAAUUUACCAUCAGGUAUUUCCCUCUGGGUUUGGAGAAAGAAUUUGCAUAUCAUAUAUCCAACAGAGAAAGCCAAAGCAGGAAGCCUGAAACAAGUCAGUUUGAAAACAGCACACUUAAAGAUGGGGAUGGACUUAACAUGUGCACGCACAGUGUAGAAGAGGUUAAGCUCAGGGCCUAGCUGAGAUAGUAUUCUACCAUCUUCCACUCACCAUUAGAAAUGUUGGUAUUUCCCUUCUUUUUAUUUAUUCUUUUUUGAGCACUGCAGAGGCCACUCAGCCUCCUCUGUAGAUGGAUUAUAAGUGUACAUUGCCAUGGCCAGCGUAAUAGAAAUUUACUGAACAGCAAUGGCAUACAAAAAUACUAUUAUUGCAGAAAUACCAAUUUUCACCCAAAUGAGCCAUUACCUUCACUUGCAAAAAUUGCUACUUUGGAAAAGCUGAGCCUUGGUUUGGAUGUGAGGGAAAGGAGAAUCUUAUUAUGUGUUGGUUAAAAUAUAGAUUAGGAUUCAUUGAGACCUUUUUACAGAGACA
rnacentral:lncRNA from 1 species